AUGGUGGGAGCCCCUGACACACUUCUACUCCCCGCCCGUGGGGUCCCUCUUACCUGCCACUCAGCCUGCCUUGGUCACCUCCUGGUCAGGAUAUCCCACGUAACCACCGUUUCUCUGCCUUCAGGCUCCUGGUGUUUGGCAGAGGAUAGAGAUGUUUCUGGAGAAGCAGCAUCGCCAGGGGCCUUACCGGGUAGCCCCCCUGGAAUGGCUACUAGGGUCUUCCCUGUUGUUGGUGCCUGCCACAGUGCAAAAAGCCUGGAGGGACAGUGGGGUGCUUCCCCAUCACAGGAGCGAAAACCCACGGGGGUGUCGAUGAUCUACUGGGAGAGGCUCUUGCUCGGCUCGGGCACCGGCCAGGCAAGCGUUAGCCUGCGGCUGACGUCCCCGCUGAGGCCUCUCGAGGGCGGCGGGUCCAUGGAGAAGGCCCGCACAGGCCGCCCUCUGCCAGGGAUGCAGCCCACGGUGCCCAAGCGGCGGAAGCCAUACGUGGGGAACGCCCCUGGGAGAGCCUUCCGGAGCGUCCCUGACGUGGCGUCUGUUAGCACUAGGCAGGAGCACGGCAUGAGCGUGGCUUGGCGUGAGCCUCAGAGACUCCCCAGCGACCAGGAGCCCCGAACCUGGGAGGAACUGGGCGAGGCUCCCCACGCUGGCCCUGGCCUCCCGGGAGAGAAGCCUUUCGAAUGCAGGGCGUGCAGCAAAGUGUUCGUGAAGAGCUCAGACCUCCUCAAGCACCUGCGCACCCACACCGGGGAGCGGCCCUACGAGUGUGCCCAGUGCGGCAAGGCCUUCAGCCAGACGUCGCACCUGACGCAGCACCAGCGCAUCCACAGUGGCGAGACGCCCUACGCGUGCACCGCGUGCGGCAAGGCCUUCAGGCACAGCUCCUCGCUGGUGCGGCACCAGCGCAUCCACACGGCCGAGAAGUCCUUCCGCUGCGGCGAGUGCGGCAAGGCCUUCAGCCACGGCUCCAACCUCAGCCAGCACCGCAAGAUCCACGCGGGCGGGCGGCCCUACGCCUGUGGGCAGUGCGGCCGCCGCUUCUGCCGCAACUCUCACCUCAUCCAGCACGAGCGAACGCACACGGGGGAGAAGCCCUACGCCUGCGCGCUGUGCGGUGCUGCCUUCAGCCAGGGCUCCUCGCUCUUUAAGCACCAGCGUGUACACACUGGGGAGAAGCCCUUCUCCUGCGCGCAGUGUGGCCGGGCCUUCAGCCACAGCUCCAACCUCACACAGCACCAGCUGCUGCACACUGGGGAGCGGCCCUUCCGCUGCGCAGACUGCGGCAAGGCCUUCGCUAAGGGCGCUGUGCUGCUGAGCCACCAGCGCAUCCACACCGGGGAGAAGCCCUUUGUGUGUGCACAGUGCGGGCGCGCCUUCCGGGAGCGCCCGGCCCUCUUCCACCACCAGAGGAUCCAUACUGGGGAGAAAUCCGGCAGGCCAUCGCCAGCCUGCGCCCCCAGACCAGGCUUCCAUCGUGGCCAUCAUCGAAUGGUGCGGCGAGGAGGGACGCAGAGCUCUCUCCCGACUAGGGCCCAGCAUCAAUCCCGAAGGCAGCCAAGGCCUGAGGCCACAGCCCCGCCCUUCCCCAGCCUUCUGUGAAUGUCUGCCUCACUUAGAGAGCCCAUGUCUUCUGCAAAUCCACAGUCAGGGGAAGCCCUGUGCAUUUGAGUCAGAGAGGAGGGAGAUCCUUUUGCUGUGUUUCCACUUGCACGUAGUGACAGGAUUUGGCACUUCAGACCCAGCUUAUACCUCCAUGCCCAAAGAGGUCACACUGCAGAAAGAUCAGGAGUAGGACACAGCGGCUGGGACUCUGGCAGGCCAAGACUGUAGUCAGAACCAGUGCGAGGGCGACAGGAGCAGCCCUGCACCUUGGUGACACCUCAUGUGUAUUAUGACAGCGGCUGCGAAGGUGAGGAGGGGAAAUGCGGGCAUGCGAGGGCAGGGAGGGCCAGAGAAGCUUCUGAUGUCUGCACACAAACUGGCCACAGGACAGAUACUGGGAUAUUCCCCCCAGGCCUCAUUUCAUCCAAGGAUUCCUGGGGGCCAUCCCAGCACACAGGAGGCUAUGGGGCAGUGGAGUCAGGUUUGUUGCCUUGGAAAAGUGGCUGGGCUCUCAGUUUCAGCUUCUCCUCUGGAGACAGAAAGAUCUGAGGCCACUGAGCAUCAUGUUGGCAGACACUCUCAAAUUCCUAAUAAGGCCAGGAUGUGUUUGCUGCAAACUCCUGCUCUGAGUGCUGGUUAGUUUCUCCUAUACCCCUGUGAGGGGGCUUCUGUGGCUGGCAUCCCUACUUCGAAGCGAGGAAACAGGCACACAGAGGGGAGGAGAAUUGCCCAUGGCAGACAGCAGAGCCAGGACUGAAACUCAGGUGGACUGGCCAAGCAUCACAUCUGGGGCUGUGCUCUAGCCUGCCAGGUGUGAGGGCCUGGCCUGGCUCCCCACACAUAGCCAACUUGGGCUGUGGAAGCCUCAGAGGAAGAUGUGACUCUCAGCUUUGGAAACACAGAUCCAGGGAGAUGGUUCUCCAGUGGUGCUUGUACACAUUCUCAUCAAAGUCUCAGCAUUGGCCACGUUCUGUCACUGACUCUUGUUACCAAAUUUGACCUUACCAGGAGGCUUUCCAUGUGAGGUGAUGAUAAUAACUUCAGAGGAGAAAAAAGGGCUGCUCAUUUUUGCUGUGGUUGAUAGUGACACACCCUCCUGUUCUUCUUUCUCAAUUGGUGGGUGGGCAGAGUGCUGAAUUGGAAGGACUUGCCAUUACCUAAGGCCAUGUGUGACACCCUCCUAAAGUCUAUCCCCCACCCCAAUGUAAUAACCCCAAAUGGUACGGACAGAAGUUGGAGUCAUAGGCCCAGUUUGCUUCCUGUGGCCUGUAGCAUACCAGGCUCCAACCCCACAUGGCAUGUUACUUGCUAGGAAAUUAAUGGCCUUUUGCCUGGAAAAGGGUGACUAGCAUUUACAACUUGAAAUAGACAUUGUAAUUUUUGCCCAGCAAUGUGGACCUCCAUAGCCUUGUCCUCUCCUGACUCCAGGGCCCGGUUCAGAUUUAAUAAGAGUUUAAAGAGGCUCUAUGAUAAAAGUUCUUUUUAUACACUUGUGUGAACAACCUGACACCAAUUUCACUAUAAUAUAAUGCAGAUGAUAUUGAACAUA